UACGUAGGGGGCAAGCGUUGUCCGGAUUUAUUGGGCGUAAAGAGCGUGUAGGCGGCUAGAUAGGUCCGUUGUGAAAACUCGAGGCUCAACCUCGAGACGUCGAUGGAAACCAUCUGGCUAGAGUCCGGAAGAGGAGAGUGGAAUUCCUGGUGUAGCGGUGAAAUGCGCAGAUAUCAGGAAGAACACCGACGGCGAAGGCAGCUCGCUGGGACGGUACUGACGCUGAGACGCGAAAGCGUGGGGAGCAAACAGG
rnacentral:rRNA from 1 species